rnacentral:tRNA from 1 species
UCCGGGGUCGUCUAAUGGUCGGACGCAUCCCUUUGAAGGAUGAUAUUGGGGUUCGAUUCCCUGCCCCGGAA